rnacentral:rRNA from 1 species
UGGGGAAUUUUUCGCAAUGGGGGCAACCCUGACGAAGCAAUGCCGCGUGGAUGAUGAAGUAUCUCGGUACGUAAAAUCCUUUCGACGGGGACGAAACCGCAAGGUUGACGGUACCCGUAGAAGAAGCCCCGGCUAACUCCGUGCCAGCAGCCGCGGUAAUACGGGGGGGGCAAGCGUUGUUCGGAAUUACUGGGCGUAAAGGGUGCGUAGGCGGCUCUCUAAGUCGGAUGUGAAAACUCUGGGCUCAACCCAGAGCCUGCAUCUGAAACUGGAGAGCUAGGGUGUUGGAGGGGAAAGCGGAAUUCCAGGUGUAGCGGUGAAAUGCGUAGAUAUCUGGAGGAACACCGGUGGCGAAGGCGGCUUUCUGGACAAAUACCGACGCUGAGGCACGAAAGCUAGGGGAGCAAACAGG